rnacentral:rRNA from 1 species
UGCCAGUAGUCAUAUGCUUGUCUUAAAGAUUAAGCCAUGCAUGUCUAAGUAUAAGCACUUGUACUGUGAAACUGCGAAUGGCUCAUUAUAUCAGUUAUAAUUUAUUUGAUGGUCAUUUACUUGGAUAACCGUGGUAAAUCUAGAGCUAAUACAUGCAUAAAAUCCUGACUGGGAACGGAAAGGAUGUAUUUAUUAGAUACAAGAACCAAUGCACUAAGUUCUCUCGGGAGCUUGGUGGAAAACAUGGUGAUUCAUGAUAACUUUACGAAUCGUAUGGUCUUGUACCGACGAUAGUUCAUUCAAAUUUCUGCCCUAUCAACUUUCGAUGGUAGUAUAGAGGACUACCAUGGUGGUAACGGGUAACGGAGAAUCAGGGUUUGAUUCCGGAGAAGGAGCCUGAGAAACGGCUACUACUUCCAAGGAAGGCAGCAGGCGCGCAAAUUACCCAAUCCCGACACGGGGAGGUAGUGACAAAAAAUAACAAUACCGGUCUUAUAUAAGUCUGGUAAUUGGAAUGAGUACAAUCUAAACCCCUUAACGAGUAUCAAUUGGAGGGCAAGUCUGGU